rnacentral:rRNA from 1 species
GACGAACGCUGGCGGCAGGCUUAACACAUGCAAGUCGAGCGCAUCCUUCGGGGUGAGCGGCGGACGGGUUAGUAACGCGUGGGAACGUGCCCCUUGCUCUGGAAUAGCCCUGGGAAACUGGGGGUAAUACCGGAUGUGCCCUGAGGGGGAAAGGUUUAUCCGGCAAGGGAUCGGCCCGCGUCUGAUUAGGUAGUUGGUGGGGUAACGGCUCACCAAGCCGACGAUCGGUAGCUGGUUUGAGAGGAUGAUCAGCAACACUGGGACUGAGACACGGCCCAGACUCCUACGGGAGGCAGCAGUGGGGAAUCUUGGACAAUGGGGGCAACCCUGAUCCAGCCAUGCCGCGUGGGUGAUGAA